CUAGAACUUCUUUUGGCCUGGGGUCUCCCGGGAUGUUCGGCAAUACUGCCAAACUUGUGAUGUAUGCCCCUAACGAGGCAUAGUCUACUAUACUACCCGGUACCCAGAGGUGGUCAUGGAAGCCAGAGCUGAUGCGAGUAUUUUCCCAAGUGGGGUUUCCUCGGCAGAUCAUAUUGGAUCAGGGCACCCAGUUCACCGCUGAGGUCACACACACCAACUCUGCAUGUUCAAAUCCAUCCAGAGCUCCCUGCACCUUCCCCAGAUGAACAGCAUCUAUGAGCAGUUUAAUAGGAAACUAGAGUACAUGCUUCGGACAUUCACUACCACUUGCAGGGACUGGGAGAGAUUUCUGCCACACCUCCUGUUCACCUACUGGGUGGUGUAGCAGGAAUCCACGGGGUUCUCUCCGUUAGAGUUGCUGUAAGGUUGAUGGGUGAGGGGCCCUCUUGAUCUCAUCAGGGAAAACUGGGAAAAGUAGACCGGGAUAGAAGGGACUACGAUUAUACCCUAUGUGCUGGAGCUAAGGAACCACCUGAGGUAGUUGACCAAUACGGUUUGGGUUGGGCAAAAGGUUUUGGUUUUAAAGCUGGUCCACCACCACAAGCUGUCUUGCAGGGGACCUACAAUGUGAUGGAACAGGUCUGCGACACUCCCCAAGUACUGGCUAGCUGUGCCAAUCACAAGGUGAUGCAUACCUUCCACGUGAACAUGCUGAAAGAGUACGGGGAAAGGGAUGAAGAGGUGGCCAUGAUAUGUUUCGGACGACCUGGAGAGCUUGCCCCUACCUGAUGAUCUAGGGAUAGAAGUGCAGG